GUACGAGCAACUGCGCAAAGCAAUUAAAGUUUGGAAGGAAAAAUAGGUCCAGACUGCACCUGUUGCGAGCAAUUAACAAAAAAAGGGUCUGCAUCUCAACUGAGAACGACCGUCAGUUUAUUUCUUCGGCCAUUUUAAGCAACGGUUCGGUCACAGGAAUCCAUCUUACUCGAGAAAAGACCAGUGCAAGCAGGACUCCGUGUAUCUCUGCAGUGUAUAUGCUGGCUUUGGGAUUAAUCUUGACAGAGCUCACGUGACCUGUCUCUGUCACUGCUGCUGCAGCAACACGGAACUCUGCUUUAAUAACAAAGGAAGACGUAAGUUUCUUGUCGUAUUUGCCCAGCUCAAAAUUACACCUGAUCUCCUUUUUCUUCCAUGGAGCAAAGUCAUCCCUGUGUGAAAGAAUGUGUUCUGGUGUGGGCUCCAACCCAAAUUCCUCAGCUAUACUUUUAGCUCGAACUGCAAUAGUUGGGAUGGACUUUGGUUUAUUUUUGAACAAGUCCCUUCUGCGAUUGUUUUCAACGAUGGAAUGACAAGGGUGAUCUGACAGCGAUAAAACCUUUUGGACAUAAGAUAGAGUUAAAAACUUCCUUCGAAGUGUUAAAGACGGUUCAAAGCAUUCGACAUAUAAACUUUGGACUGGAGACGUGCGAUAUGCCCCUGUUACCAUCCUGAUAGCCGAGUGGUGAACAGGAUCAAUGCACUUGAGUGUGGAUGGCCGAGCUGACCCAUAGACGAUACUUCCAUAAUCUAUCUUGGACCGUAUCAAAGAUCGAUAUACGCGGAGUAAGCAUGCUCUAUCGGUACCCCAUGACUUGUGAGAAAGAACUUUGAGAAUAUUUGAUGCUUUCUGUGUACGUAUUUUCAAGUCACGAAUGUGUGGUCCAAAUGUUAGCUUUGAGCCAAAUAUUAAGCCAAGGAACUUAUACUGAGGUUUAACCGGUAUCCUCUCUCCGUGAAGAGAAAGAUUGGGUUCAGGAUGCACACCACGUUUGCGCGAGAAGCAAACAUAGGUAGUUUUCUCAGUGGAGAACUUAAAGCCGUUCUCGUCUGCCCAUUUAGUCAAACGAUUGUGGUAAUCUGCACCUGCCGUUCACAUAUAGCAAGAUUACAAGAAGCAAAGCUUAUCUGUAAGUCAUCCACGUACAUGGAGUACUGAAUCGUGGAGGGAAUAAUGCUGGCGACUGAGUUAAUCUUGAGUGCAAAAAGUGUGACACUCAAUACACUUCCUUGAGGGACUCCGUUUUCUUGCACAUACACAUCUGAGAGUGUGUUUCCAAGGCGAACACGAAGCGUUCGUUGAGAAAGGAAGUCUUUAAUGCAUCGGAACAUGUUACCUCCAAUUCCACAAUUUAUAAGGUCUUGAAGGAUUCCGUAUCUCCAUGUUGUGUCGUAAGCCUUCAUAAGAUCAAAAAAUACA